AACCUGGCGGCGUGCCUAUAAUACAAGUCGGGCGAACGGACGAGAAGCUUGCUUCUCUGAUGUUAGCGGCGGACGGGUGAGUAACACGUGGAUAACCUACCUAUAAGACUGGGAUAACUUCGGGAAACCGGAGCUAAUACCGGAUAAUAUUUUGAACCGCAUGGUUCAAAAGUGAAAGACGGUCUUGCUGUCACUUAUAGAUGGAUCCGCGCUGCAUUAGCUAGUUGGUAAGGUAACGGCUUACCAAGGCAACGAUGCAUAGCCGACCUGAGAGGGUGAUCGGCCACACUGGAACUGAGACACGGUCCAGACUCCUACGGGAGGCAGCAGUAGGGAAUCUUCCGCAAUGGGCGAAAGCCUGACGGAGCAACGCCGCGUGAGUGAUGAAGGUCUUCGGAUCGUAAAACUCUGUUAUUAGGGAAGAACAUAUGUGUAAGUAACUGUGCACAUCUUGACGGUACCUAAUCAGAAAGCCACGGCUAACUACGUGCCAGCAGCCGCGGUAAU
rnacentral:rRNA from 1 species